rnacentral:rRNA from 1 species
UACAGAGGUGGCGAGCGUUGUUCGGAUUUACUGGGCGUAAAGGGCGCGUAGGCAGCCUUGUGUGUCGCGUGUGAAAUCCCCGGGCUCAACCCGGGAAGUGCGCGCGAAACUGCAAGGCUCGAGCGGAGGAGGGGAGAGCGGAAUUCAUGGUGUAGCGGUGAAAUGCAUAGAUAUCACGAAGAACUCCGAUCGCGAAGGCAGCCUUCCGGCCCGUCAACGACGCUCAUGCUCGAAGGUGCGGGUAUCAAACAGGAUUAGA